GACGAACGCUGGCGGCGUGCCUAAUACAUGCAAGUAGAACGCUGAAGAGAGGAGCUUACUCUUCUUGGAUGAGUUGCGAACGGGUGAGUAACGCGUAGGUAACCUGCCUUGUAGCGGGGGAUAACUAUUGGAAACGAUAGCUAAUACCGCAUAACAAUGGAUGACACAUGUCAUUUAUUUGAAAGGGGCAAUUGCUCCACUACAAGAUGGACCUGCGUUGUAUUAGCUAGUAGGUGAGGUAAUGGCUCACCUAGGCGACGAUACAUAGCCGACCUGAGAGGGUGGUCGGCCACACUGGGACUGAGACACGGCCCAGACUCCUACGGGAGGCAGCAGUAGGGAAUCUUCGGCAAUGGGGGCAACCCUGACCGAGCAACGCCGCGUGAGUGAAGAAGGUUUUCGGAUCGUAAAGCUCUGUUGUAAGUCAAGAACGGGUGUGAGAGUGGAAAGUUCACACUGUGACGGUAGCUUACCAGAAAGGGACGGCUAACUACGUG
rnacentral:rRNA from 1 species